GACGGGGGGGGCAAGUGUUCUUCGGAAUCACUGGGCGUAAAGCGCACGUAGGCGGCUUCUUAAGUCAGGGGUGAAAUCCUGGAGCUCAACUCCAGAACUGCCUUUGAUACUGAGAAGCUUGAGUCCGGGAGAGGUGAGUGGAACUGCGAGUGUAGAGGUGAAAUUCGUAGAUAUUCGCAAGAACACCAGUGGCGAAGGCGGCUCACUGGCCCGGUACUGACGCUGAGGUGCGAAAGCGUGGGGAGCAAACAGG
rnacentral:rRNA from 1 species